AGUGAACGCUGGCGGUAGGCCUAACACAUGCCAGUCGAACGGCAGCACAGUAAGAGCUUGCUCUUACGGGUGGCGAGUGGCGGACGGGUGAGGAAUACAUCGGAAUCUACUUUUUCGUGGGGGAUAACGUAGGGAGACUUACGCUAAUACCGCAUACGACCUACGGGUGAAAGCAGGGGAUCUUCGGACCUUGCGCGAUUGAAUGAGCCGAUUUCGGACUAGCUAGUUGGCGGGGUAAAGGCCCACCAAGGGGACGAUCCGUAGCUGGUCUGAGAGGCGGAUCAGCCACACUGAAACUGAGACACGGUCUAGGCUCCUACGGGAGGCAGAGGUGGGGAAUAUUGGACAAUGGGCGGAAGCCUGAUCCAGCCAUACCGCGUGGGUGAAGAAGGCCUUCGGGUUGUAAAGCCCUUUUGUUGGGAAAGAAAAGCAGCAGGUUAAAACCCCGCUGUUCGGAGGGUACCCAAAGAAUAAGCACCGGCUAACUUCGG
rnacentral:rRNA from 1 species